UUUUGCCGAACCCGCCUGGCUCUCCUUGCCGUCAUAAUGACCAUCGACACAACACUUGCACUUAACACUGAGUGAGAUUAUUUAUUUCCGCUCUUUCUUUAGUUUUGUGGGACAUUCAACUGUUUUUCUCACAAUUCACUCUUGCACUUCACUCACUUUUGCCGAACCCGCCUGGCUCUCCUUGCCGUCAUAAUGACCAUCGACACAAACACUUGCACUUAACACUGAGUGAGAUUAUUUAUUUCCGCUCUUUCUUUAGUUUUGCGGUACAUUCAACUGUUUUUCUCUCAAUUCACUCUUGCACUUCACUCACUUUAGCCGUAACCGCCUGGCUCUCCUUGCCGUCAUAAUGACCAUCGACACAAACACUUGCACUUAACACUGAGUGAGAUUAUUUAUUUCCGCUCUUUCUUUAGUUUUGUGGGACAUUCAACUGUUUUUCUCACAAUUCACUCUUGCACUUCACUCACUUUAGCCGUAACCGCCUGGCUCUCCUUGCCGUCAUAAUGACCAUCGACACAAACACUUGCACUUAACACUGAGUGAGAUUAUUUAUUUCCGCUCUUUCUUUAGUUUU
rnacentral:lncRNA from 1 species